rnacentral:lncRNA from 1 species
CUGCUUCUUCGUAAGCUUAUUCAUUUUCUUUCCUUGAAACAUUCUCUUGAAAGAUGUCUGCUCAACAACAAGAAUAGGGCCCCUUGAACUUUUCAAGGUACCCUCAACAGUGACUAGUAUAUUAACCAACUCAGGUAAGUUGUAGUCCAAUUUGUUCAUAUGGUAGUUUACGAUAAACUACCCAUACGAACUAGUAAGA